GUUGUGAUCUCUGCUCAAGCCUUUAUAAUCUGUAAAAGGAGAAACAGUGACCACUGCAGUGUGAGAAAACAACAAGGCUCAGCAGCAGAGAACACAACCAGUCAGACUGCUGAGAGUCUGAAUUACGCUCCCAUCCAUUUCAAAGAGAACAAACCCAAAACUGGACGAGUGAAGAGAGAACAGCCUGAAGACAUUGUGUACUCUCAAGUGAGAAGCUCUAAUGCUAAAGCUCAUCGUUCUCAUCGCUAGAUCUCUUUUCUUUAGUGAGCAGUAGUGAAGUUUGGGGAUGUUUUUAUUUUACUGUGAUAUUCAGAGUUGCACAUGAUCUCCAGGUUAAUUUAGCAAUCUUAUUAUUUCUCUUGAUUUUAGACUGGUGUCUGCAGGUGUGUGAGGUUUAGGUUCCCAUUUUGCUUAGAGCUGGGUGUAAAAUAUGCAGUUUAGUCUGAAGUUUCAGUUCUCUAAAGGAGUGUGUGAGGAUGUUUUAGAGUGAGUGUGGUUACUAUAAUCUUUCACCUGUAACAGACACUCAUGAGUUUAUCCUGAUGUUGUCUGAUAUUGUGCACCAUUCAUAGAUGUGUAAUGAAUUUUUAGAGGCUGUCUAAAGUUUUGACAGAAAAGUCAUUUCAAAAAAUGAUGAAAUUUCCCCCAUAAUUUGUUCUUUUUUAGCAUCAAACUUUUAUUAAAACACAAACAUAACAAAUCCUGAAAUUUACACAGUUUACUGAAGUUACCUUUUUCUUAUUUCCUUUGAACUACAAGCAUAAUCUUGGUCACUCUGAAGUUCUGAAGUCCAAAUGUAAAAAUUACAUUAUAUGUGCUUUCUCAAGUAACACAUUUGGAUUCCACAA